AGGUCAAGCUGGAAAGAGCGCAAGGGGAAUGCCUUGGCAUCAGGAGCCGAAGAAGGACGUGACAAGCUGCGAAAAGCCUCGGGGAGGAGCAAAUAUCCAUUGAUCCGGGGAUCUCCGAAUGGGGCAACCCGGCUGGACAAUAUCCAGUCAUCCUGCGUUGAACAAAAUAGGCGUAGGAAGGGAACCGCCUGAACUGAAACAUCUAAGUAGGGCGAGGAAGAG
rnacentral:rRNA from 1 species